rnacentral:rRNA from 1 species
GACGACGCUGGCGGCGUGGAUUAGGCAUGCAAGUCGAACGGUAGGAUACCUUCGGGUAUCUGAGAGUGGCGAACGGGUGAGUAACACGUAGGUGAUCUACCCUCAAGAUUGGGACAACCCAGGGAAACUUGGGCUAAUACCGGAUGAAAGCAGCAGUGAUGUUGUUUGAAAGGUGGCGUAAGCUGCCGUUUGGGGAUGAGCCUGCGCUCUAUUAGUUAGUUGGCGGGGUAAAGGCCCACCAAGGCGAUGAUAGAUAGGCGGCCUUAACGGGUGGUCGCCCACACUGGGAUUGAGAUACGGCCCAGACUCCUACGGGAGGCAGCAGUCGAGAAUAGUCUACAAUGGCCGAAAGGCUGAUAGUGCGACGCCGCGUGAACGAAGAAGCCCUUCGGGGUGUAAAGUUCUUUUAUAUGUGAGCAGUGCUUCUUAUAUUAACAGUAUGGGGAGAGAGAUAUUAGCAUAUGAAUAAGCAACGGCUAACUCCGUG